GGCGUAGGCGUACGGCAGUUCAUUCCCAGACUAAUCAUUGAUGUUUAGUGGAUCAAGUACGGUACAGAGUUAUCGAACUUUCUUGGCGCCGACUGCAGACUGUUGUAAAAGGAAGAAAGCCGGACGAAUAACAAAGAGUAGACUGCUAGUUAAUUCAUCAUGAAUAGAGAAAUUAUCUUUGCAGUAGUUUGUACAUUUAUUGCAGGUAAUUUAUUGACUUUAAUAAAUAUAAACAUAACAAUUUCAUCUUCAAAAACUUAAUAAUGUCUCAGUUGAUGCACAUGUGCAUGUAAAUUCCAUUAUUAUACCGGCACAUUUUCGAAGAAGGGUGUGUCGCUGGAAAUGUGGAAAUUUUAAAAUCAUUGCAUUUAUUCAGUUGUCAUAUUGCAUGCUUUUCAUAUAUGUACACAGGUAUAUUUCCUUAUAUAAUUUAAAUAGCCAUAAGGUGAAUCAUCAUCAUGAUCUUAUGUUUGCAGGUGCUCGUUUAAUCGAUGGUUUUAAUAAAACAAGAGUUAUCUUCCUUUGCUAUUAAUUUAAAAGCACUGACUUAAACAAUCUUUAACAAUAUUGAAUCAUUUCACUAAAAGAACAUUUCAUGCAUUUGAUUAAUGUCAUCACUAUUUUGGAAAAGAUGAAAGAGUGCUGUUAAUUAGAUAUAUAAAGGCAACAGAUUUGAGCUCAAAUUUAAGCUACAGGUACACAUUUAAUGAUAUGGUACUAUAACAUGAUUAAUACACUAACAUUUAUAUAGAGAAUAAUACAUGGUAAAGUCCGUAUCACAGGCCGUAUCACCCUCGACCAAUAUCAUCUCUCGGGCCUAAAGGCCCUCAUGCUGAUAUUGGUAUCUCGGGAUGAUACGGCAUAUGAUACGGAUUUUGCCAUGUAUUAUUCUGUUUAUUAUAUAUUUUUUAAAACCAAAUUAAAUUGUAAAUAAAUGCAUUUGUGCAGAAACAAACUUCACAAAAAUUAUGACCAAAUAAACAAUAAAACUUCAGAUAUUUCAACAUCUUAUUGUACUAUUUUAUAUACAAAUCGCUCGUCAAGUUUCUGGGUAAUAAUUAUUUGGAAAAAAAUCGAUUUUAGUUGAAUUGAUAGGACGUGUUUUUUUUUUAAUAGAAAUCAUUUUUUCCCUAAGCCUGAAAAUGCAGCAACUGGACGUCAUAGGUCAAACGUUGACGUCAUUUUAAUUAUGACGUCACGCCAGGUAUGCGAUACAGAUUUUGCUAUGCGAUACGGGGUAUGCGAUACGGGUUUAGCUAUGCGAUACGGGGUAUGCGAUACAGGGUAGGUGAUACAGACUGGAAAAAAGAACCUUUAUUAGAUAUACAAAAUUGCUGUAUUUUGUACUAAAUAUAUGAUAAAGUUAUAUAUUUAUAUAGUCCAAGAAAUUUUAAAACUUUCUGCAAUUAUUAUUUUGUUCCAGAUUGUUUCUUUUAAAAUAGACAUUGGAAUAUUUCAGGCCUAAAUUAAAAUAUUGUUUGUUUGCCCUUUUCCGACCCUAUGUUUUGAAACAGGGUAGGUAGGUACAUGUAGGUAAAAUAUUUUAUUUUUCUUUCCCCCCAAAAAAAACUUAGCUCGGUACAUUUUUUGUCAUGGGUAGGCAUAAUAUUAAAAUUAUUUUAUUUUAUAGAUACAAAAUCUGCAUGAUGUCAAUUUUGUCUGUAUUGCUUUUGUUUAAGUAUAAUGCUUUUGCUAAUAAGUUUCUGGGACUAAUUAAGUAUAAAGUCCCAGGAUGUUUUGAAAAAAAAAAUAUCAUGUAGAAUGUGAAAUUAAUUCAUAUGCACUACUAUUUUGUUUUUAAAUAUCAAAAUAUAGGGCUGUGCGCCAUAUUUUCAACGUUUAUAUGCCUAGUGCUGGAACUUUUUAAGAGUUUUGACUUUCACUAAUAUUCUGUACUACAUACCCUGUACGCUCACCUGGACCUAAAGGUUUUCUGUAAGAGAUAACUUUUUCCUAGUAAAAUAUGUCCGCGCAGACAUACAUUACUAGUAGAAAAAGUUCCUAGAGUGUUUAAAUUUUUGUGUGUGCCUGUGUUUUCAAUAAAAAUGCUUCAAGACUUGAAACUCAAUUGACUUUGUCACGUAUUUUACAUCGCAUUUAUAAAUGAUCUGUAUGGAAAAACUUGGCGAUUUUACUGCCAAAUAUUCUCCCCUUUACAGACUUUUGGUUCAUGUCAGAUAUAAAUCAGAAGAUAUCAAUGCUGGUCGAAGGCAUCGUUAACAUAAUCAUCCUAAUCUAUGGACCACCAAAGGCCAUCCCUACAUAGGAUACAAUGUAGGAAUGACCUGGCACUCACAGUUUGCGAUAUCUAGAAUCCUUAGGGAGGCUGGCCUGGCACUCGCAGUUUCAGAUAGUCUAGAAUCCAAAGGGAGGCUGCCCUGGCACUCACAGUUUGAGAUAUCUAGAAACCAAAGGGAGGCUGCCCUGGCACUCACAGUUUGAGAUAUCUAGAAACCAAACAAAAUAUUUUGUACACACGUUGAUUAUUUUGUAUUGGACGAACUUUUUUUUUAAUGACCCCUACGUACUCUUCAAGUAUAAAGACACAGAGUAACGUUCGUCAUAUCAUGAUUUCAAAGCUUUCAACAUCGAUUUCAAACAAAUGCUUUGAAACUCUAAAUGAAAGUGUUCAUGUCAAAAGCUCACGUGAUACCAACAGACUAGACCUUAUACAGGAAAGAUAAAACCAGAGGAUUCUGGUAAAAAUGUUUUGAGCAGGAAACACAAAUAUAAGAUUUUUUGUAGGAACGGAAAAAUAAAACAAAAUAAAAUCUUGCUGGUAGAUAAGAAUAAAAGAUUUUUAGGCUAAACGAAUUUAUAGGGUCGGUCGGUAAAGGGCAAACAAACAAUAUUUUAAUUCAAUGGACAUUUCUUGAGGGAUCAAUUUAACUAGUUAAUCAGAAUCUGGAAAAGUCAUUAACCAACAGUUGCUAUACAGUGAUCAGACUGUGUUAUAUGGUAGUCUCAGCUAUAUGGUACUAGAAUAGUCUAGAAUCCAAAGUGAGGCUGCCCGUGCACUCACAGUUUGAGAUAUCUAGAAACCAAAGGGAGGCUGCCCUGGCACUCACAGUUUGAGAUAUCUAGAAUCCAAAGGGAGGCUGCCCUGGCACUCACAGUUUGAGAUACUGUGGAUUCAUUUAUUUUCGUGAUUGAAGAAAAUUUGCAUAUUCGUGGAUUUUGGCAAAGUCUGCCUUCACUCCUUUAGAAAAUUUGUAAUUCGUUGAACAUUUAAAUUCGUGGUUCUCUUAGCCAGUACCCAUGAAAUCCACGAAAAUUGGUAUCCAACAAAUAUUAAUGAAUCUACAGUAUCUAGAAUUCAAAGGGAGGCUGGCCUGGUACUCACAGUUUGAGAUAGUCUAGAAUCCAAAGGGAGGCUGCCCUGGCACUCACAGAUUGAGAUAUAUAGAAACCAUUUAGGGAGGCUGCCCUGGCACUCGCAGUUUGAGAUAUCUAGAAUCUAAAGGGAGGCUGGCCUGGCACUCACAGUUUGAGAUAUAUCUAGAAAUAAAGGGAGGCUGCCCUGGCACUCACAGUUUGAAAUAUCUAGAAUCCAAAGGGAGACUGCCCUGGCACUCACAGUUUGAGAUAUCUAGAAUCCAAAGGGAGGCUGGCCUGGCACUCACAGUUUGAGAUAUCUAAAAUCCAAAGGGAGGCUGCCCUGGCACUCACAGUUUGAUAUAUCUAGAAUCCAAAGGGAGAUUGGCCUGGCACUCACAGUUUGAGAUAGUCUAGAAUCCAAAGGGAGGCUGCCCUGGCACUCACAGUUUGAGAUAUCUAGAAUCAAAAGGGAGGCUGGCUUGGCACUCACAGUUUGAGAUAUCUAGAAUCCAAAGGGAGGCUGGCCUGGCACUCACAGUUUGGGAUAUCUAGAAUCAAAAGGGGCUGCCCUGGCACUCGCAUUUUGAGAUAUCUAGAAUCCAAAGGGAGGCUGGCCUGGCAUUCACAGUGUGAGAUAUUUAGAAUCCAAAGGGAGGCUGCCCUGGCACUCACAGUUUGAGAUAUUUAGAAUCCAAAGGGAGCUGGCCUGGCACUCACAGUUUGAGAUAGUCUAGAAUUCAAAGGGAGGCUGCCCUGGCACUCACAGUUGGAGAUAUCUAGAAACCAAAGGGAGGCUGCCCUGGUACUCACAGUUUAAGAUAUCUAGAAACCAAAGACAUGGUCACACAUUUCUUUUGUUUAGGGGAGGGGGUAUUACAUUUUUAUCCUUGUCCAUCUGUACAUCAUUCCAGAAAUUGGUUUCAGAUCUCUGUAGCUUGCCUAAACCGAAUGUUUUUGCACUAUGUCAUCAGUGAAACAGACAGAUAAUUUUUUUUUUAAAUUUGUUGUUAUCACUUUGACCUUUCUAGAGUUUUUCCCUUUUCAAAUGAAAAAAAAAUGCAGAAUUUUUUUUCGUUUCAAUUCUCUUUCAUGUCUACUCUAAUACUAUGCCUUUACCAAAUUUGAAUCUAAUACACAAUUCUUAUUACCCCCAAAACAAAUCAAGUUUGAAUUUUGGAGGCUUCAUAUUUACUGUUCUAGAGUUAUGCCCUGUUCUCUAAAUUAUCUUUCCCUCAACCACAUAUUGUGAAACUUAUUCACAGUGUUUAAUUUACCACUGGAAUUUACUACCACAAAACUUGGAUCAAGUUUGAAUUUUGGUAGAGUCACUUAUACCAUUUUUGAGUUAUGUCCCUUUAUAUUGGUGCAUCAUCUGUGUCCCUGGCGUUGAUACAUUCCCCAUUUAUCUUAUAAGCCCAGAUUUAGAGAAUCAAGAUGAAUGAUUUUUAUGACAUUCAUGCAGGUUAACAUUAUCAUUAUCUGACUGCAAGGAGUUGCUAAGUCGUCAUGCUUGAUUAUUUUUGGGGAGAUCGAAAUGUUAUUGAAAACAGAAAAGUAAACAAACUUGCCUAGAGAUCACAGACUGGUUUUGUUUGUUAAGUUUUAUGAAAUAUAUAAUUAUAUAUAGAUGUGUCUUAAAUAUCUUGAACAAAUUUGAAAAUCCUUGUUGAUCUAUUAUGUUUUACAGUAGUUAUGCCUAGUAUUUUAAGUGAUGUGGAAAUGAAUGGUCUGAGAACAUAGGCUACUCUGUAAAAAAGUUGCUAUUAUUAUUUUAUCCUCUUUGUUAAUUUAAACACCUUGUCCCUAAUACACUUUAUUCCUAGUACUCUUUGCACUGAGCACAUUUUUCCUCUUAGUAGCACAAUUUUCUAUGUCCUUUGCACACUUUGUCCACUUUAACCUAGCCUGGUCCUCUAUUGGAAAAUAGACAUCAUGUUUCUUUGUUGGUUGCUAGGUGAUUGAGACUGGCCUUUUAGAUAUGUUUGUUUAUGUAGUGAAUAUAUGUAUUUAAUAGGGAGUUUAAAAACAUAUAUGAGAAAUAAUUCAGAACUUUUUGUUUUUCUGUCUUGGAAAACCUAAGCAAAUACUGUAACAGAUACAUAUAUUUUGAUUUAUAUCAAUUCAGGAAGUACAGAUAUAUUUUUAUGCCCCAUUUAUGGGCAUUAUGUUUUCUGGUCUGUGCGUCCGUUCGUCCGUCCGUUCGUUCGUCCGUCCGUCCGUUCGUUCGUCCGUCUGUCCCGCUUCAGGUUAAAGUUUUUGGUCAAGGUAGUUUUUGAUGAAGUUGAAGUCUAAUCAACUUGAAACUUAGUACAUAUGUUCUGUAUGAUAUGAUCUUUCUAAUUUUAAUUCCAAAUUAGAGAUUUAACCCAAUUUUCACGGUCCACUGAACAUAGAAAAUGAUAGUGCGGAUGGGGCAUCCGUGUACUGGGGACACAUUCUUGUUAUGUAGUAAAUUAAUCUAGGUGUCCACACAUUACCAAGUCACAACUUGACAGGUAUUUGAUACUUUGCUUGUUCUCAAAUUGCAAACUUUCUGCCUACAACAUUGAUUGUCCAGAAAUACAAGCUAAGUCCUUUCAAGCUGGUGAAUGACAUUUCAAUAGGGUGUGUACAUGUAAUUGUGAUCACUGAUGAUAUAAUUAGGUUGAGAACUUCAGAAAUUGGACACUAUUUGAAAGUUUUGAAGUGCCCAAUAGUCAUACUAUACUUAUAUAUAAAACUUAAACAUAAGAUUAAAGUAUAUAGAACUAUAAAUCUAGGCGCCCUUUAUGUCGGUCAGAAGUGAUUCAAUUUUUAUGGGUUUUUCCAAAAAAGUUAAUGAACUGUUGUACAUGUUUAACAGAAUGUUAAGAAUUUCAGUGGGAUGGGGGCUCCAUUUAUGAUUAUCAGUCCUAAAAAUGAAUAUUAUUUUUGAAAAUGAGCAUUGCAAUUGAAAUUGUUUAGUUUAAGAGCCUCAAAAAUUGCAGUUAUUUUAUUAUUGCAGGCAUUUGAGCUUGUCUUUUGAAAAUUUGUGGUGCUUGCUUCUCAGGAGAACAAGUAGUAUAACAUUUUCCCACCCUUAGGUUGGCCUUUUGUUUACCCAAGACAGGUAAAGGAGUGCUAUGAUUGAUUGCAAGGAUAUAAUAUAUUUUUCACUCCUUUAUAAAUAACUGAUGUGUGUAUAAUUAGGACAUAAAUUUUUAAACACAUUGAAAAAUGUACUUAAGAAUUAUUCAGAAUAUCUUUCAAAUUUUCAUAAAUUUCAUGUAAAAUGAUGCUGGAUAUGGAUAUGUUAUAAACUAGUCCAUUUUUUAAGAUGGUCAUGUUACCAUUUGACCUCAAUUUCUUAAACAGACUACCAGUAAUAAGUACUCAUAUCACACAUAACUUUAUUUUGCAGGUUUUUCUAACAUAUUAAUUAAGUUGUAAUUCUAGAAAAUAUAAGGAUUAUCGCCUAUGGAGGAAAAAAAAUACCAUUUUCCCAUCAGAGCCUCACAAAUAGCAUGAAUAGUAGUAAUUUUAUUUAUGCAGCCAUUUAUCUCAGAGAUAAAUGUUGAUGAAACGUACAUUCCAUGUAAUUAGUUGUUUGAUCAUAAUUCAUGAUAAUGCUGAAGGGGCUUUGAUUAUAACAUAUAUCAUACAGUUUCAUUGCCAGUUGUGUAGUUUUCAGUACAGUUUUGUUUGUUUUGAAGUGUCAAGAAGAAAUUUUACAUAUGUAAUGUAAAUUUCAGACUAUUAAAAUAGAUGUUUUAUAAAAUAUAUGACCUAAAUGUAAAUGUUGAAAUAUGUAAACAUAAAAUUAAGUAUGAAUUAUUUCUUUUGUAAGGCAUUUUUAAUUGAUUAGGUUAUUUUAAGAAAUGGAUCCAAACUAAUUGAUAUGGGACAGUCUUUGGGUCAUAAUAAACCUUACUGGAAUUAGAUCUCUGUAUGCGCUUUUAGUCUUAGAUGCAGUGACCAAGCCUUUAAAAAGCAAGUGCAUAGAUUUAAUUUAAAACUUAGCUGAUGUUCAUACUAUAAUAUAUAUCUGCCAGAACAUACCCUUUUAUAAUGUAAUGCAUCUGAUAGUUGCACUGAAGAAAUUGUGACAUUAAUGUAUUCAAAAUGAGGUGAUCGGUGAAACAGGCAUGUCCAAAAACGUUGAGUGGAGUGGAGUGUUGGUGUGGAGCGUUGGAGUUUUUGCCAGGAAUAAAACAUACAUUUUUUUUAACUAGAUGCCAAACCUGCCAAAAUGCGAAAAUUAACAUGAGCACUCUUAGAAAUUUAUUUUCAAAUGAAUUUUUUAACAAUUUAAUUUGAUAGGUAGUGUUAUUGAUUUGUGGAUUCAUUAAGUAUUUAACAAAAAUCCUUUACUUCACUCCACUCCAUUUCUAGACUCCCAUGUUUUCACUCUAUGAUUCCACUCAACCUUUUAGUACAUGCCUCCUUGGAAAGAUGGGAAUGCUCAGGUCACACAUCCCAUGGACUAUUAAUGUCCAGACAAGAUCCUGUACAUAUGAAUGUCUCUCUGUUGAAUAUUAUAUCAAACCACCUGUAUAUUAAUUUGUUUACUAGUGUAUAGCUUAACAGUAUGUUGUUUUAUACCUGUACCUGUACAUACUUUUGAUCUGUUAUUAUAAAGAGUGAACCUAAGGGAAACUUUAUUAUACUUACAUAGGUAGAAAUAUAUUUUUUUUGUAUAUUCUAAACAAAGAUUUUUUUAAGAUCCCUAUCACAUUUAUUUCUGCUAAAUUUAUCAAAUGAGAAGUGAUCGCUCUGAAUGACUACUUCGAAAUUAUUUAAGAUUUAAUCAUACAUAUCAAAUAGGGUCAUAUUGAAUGAGAGGAAAAUCCAUAUUGAUCAUGAGGUGACCAUCUCGUUUACUGUGGAUUAUAAAAUGAAACUUAAAUUUGUGUUACUGAAUCAAAUACUGCUUUAAGGGAAUUGCAUCCUUCAUUGAAAAUCUUGUCACAUAUUACUAUGCAAGGAGGAUCUGUAUUUGAGGUCAAUAUCUCAAAGAUCAAGGUCAAAGUGACCAGACAGAUAGAAAUUAUUAUGUUUCCAACCUAAGUCAAAUACUGCAUGGAUUGCAACCUUAAUUGAAAUAAUGAGAGAAAAAAUCCUAUUUAUUUUUUGUCACAAUUUCUGAAGGUCAAGAGUUCCUAAAAGAAUACUGCAAGAGUGAUUACCACAUUGUAGAUUUACUUACAUGUAACUAAGCAAUAGUGAUUGUAAUUGAAUCACCUUGUUUAUGUAUAACAAAUCUCAGAGUCAUGUAGUAGGAAUCUUAAGAACAAAUUAAACCCUUGCUUAGCAAAAAUAAUAGUAUAAAUAAUUGUUUCUUUUUUUUCUUACAGCUGUAAAUGGAGUCUGUGACAGACAAGCAGUAGCAACAUGUUUUGGUGCUAUGCAGGGUAGUAAUGAAAAUAUGCAGGCACAAUGUGCGUAAGUAUCUAUCAUCAAUUAUAAACUCACAGGUUUGCAUUUUUAUGCCCCUGCAGUAGCAGAGGUAGCAUUCGUUUUGCCCUUGUACUUGCGUGCAUCCCAAAAUUGGUUUCUGUUCCCUAACUUAGUUUGCCUCAAACAAAUGUUAUAAAAAAUGAUACACAAAAAAUAAUUGAAGUGUGAUUUUUGUAGGUGUCAUACUUUUCUAGAGUUAUGCCCCUUUGCAAAUGAAAUAAAUGCUGAAUUUUUCCUUUCUGUUCUCUAACUUUGAUUUGCUUAAACCAAAUGUAAUGAAAGCCAAACACAAUGCUUAUUACCACAUAACACUGAUCAAGUUUGAAAGGAGUAGGUUCAGUAAGACCUCUUUUUGGCCCCAAAAUAUAGCAGUUUUACAAAAUUGUUAAAAUUUAAACUUUUUCUUAGUUAUUGGAUAGUAGAAUGGUUCUGCUACAAUAAUAUGGGCUGUUUUUGACAAAACAAUGCACAUAUAUUGGGUACUAGCACCAUGAAGUCGUGCUUCACAAUUCCAGCAUUUUUUUUUUUUUUUUUUUUUUUUUUUUAUCCAACAUAUAUAAUAUACAACAGUACAGUUAUCAAACAAUAAGUUCAUAUAUAUAUAAAUGUAAUAUGAUACAACCUAUUAGAAAAUGUAUAGAACUUGAAAAAUAACAUUUUGUUUGGAUUUUAUAAUUGUAUCUUAUUAAAAAGGACAUACAAAAAAAAUAUAAUAGAGAAUUAAUAAAUAAAAGAAUUAAAAGAUGAUUAAAGAAAAAGAAAAAAAACAAAAAAAACAACAAAAAACAAAAAAAAACAAAAAACCAAUAUAAAAAAAACAAAAAUCAUUUUGAGCAUUUUAGUUAAAUUUUUUUAGACGGGUAAAACGAAAGUGGCCGCAUUCGUGCUCAUCCAAAAUAUUGAAAUGGAAGUUGUAUUUGAUGAUAAUACAUAACAUAUGUAAAGAUUGAGGAUGAACACGGAUGCGGCCACUUUCGUUUUGGACAUUUUUUUCGCAUAUUUGGUAGAUUUUUCAUAUUUUAGCUUGAAUCGGAUUGUUUUUAAUGACUAAAUAUGUUAAAAUCUUGCACAUAGAUUAAUUGAAUCAUAUGAAAUAGACACUUAAGAGUUAAAAAAGUGGUCAAAAUCUUUCAACAUGAAACUUAACAAUUUGAGGCCAAAAUCUAUAAUAUUAAAAUAACGAGGUCCAAUUUGUCAGCCAUCAUAGGGUAAACAUGACAAAUCAAAGAA
rnacentral:lncRNA from 1 species